UACGAAGGGGGCUAGCGUUGUUCGGAAUUACUGGGCGUAAAGCGCGCGCAGGCGGCUAUCCAAGUCAGGGGUGAAAGCCCAGAGCUCAACUCUGGAACUGCCUUUGAAACUAGAGGACUUGGGUACGGGAGAGGUGAGUGGAAUUCCGAGUGUAGAGGUGAAAUUCGUAGAUAUUCGGAAGAACACCAGUGGCGAAGGCGGCUCACUGGCCCGUUACCGACGCUCAGGCGCCGACAGCGUGGGGGAGCAAACAGGAUUAGAAACCCGUGG
rnacentral:rRNA from 1 species